AAAUUGAAGAGUUUGAUCAUGGCUCAGAUUGAACGCUGGCGGCAGGCCUAACACAUGCAAGUCGAACGGUAGCACAGAGAGCUUGCUCUCGGGUGACGAGUGGCGGACGGGUGAGUAAUGUCUGGGAAACUGCCUGAUGGAGGGGGAUAACUACUGGAAACGGUGGCUAAUACCGCAUAACGUCGCAAGACCAAAGAGGGGGACCUUCGGGCCUCUUGCCAUCAGAUGUGCCCAGAUGGGAUUAGCUGGUUGGUGAGGUAACGGCUCACCAAGGCG
rnacentral:rRNA from 1 species